UAUAUACUCCCUCCGAUCCUAAAUUCUUGUCUCAAAUUUAUCCAAAUAUGAAUGUAUCUAUUCUUAAAAUGUUUCUAGAUACAUGUAAUAUUUCGACAACAAUUUAGGAUCGGAGGGAGUACAAU
rfam:Brachypodium distachyon strain Bd21 chromosome 1, whole genome shotgun sequence.